GCAUCGUUGGCAGAAUGUCUAUUGCAGCGGUCUGUAAAUCCGUGCCCUUCGGGGUUGGUGGUUCAAAUCCAUCACGAUGCA
rnacentral:tRNA from 2 species